CAAAAACAUAGUCUCUUGUUUUUUUAUUAGAGGUGUUUUCUGCUCGGUGUUUAUUAACAGCCGCAGUAAUUUGACUGUGCAAAGGUAGCAUAAUCAUUUGCCUCAUAAUUGGGGGCUUGUAUGAAUGGUAUUACGAAAAUUUGACUGUCUUUUAUUUAUCUUUAUAAUUUGUAUUUAGUGUGAAGAUACAUUAAUUUUUUAGUGGGACAAGAAGACCCUUUUGAGCUUUAUUUAAUAAUUUACUUUUUGUUAAUAUUUAAUUUGGUUGGGGCGACCUAGGAAGAAAGUUUUAAUAUUUUAUCUUCUUUUUAUUUUUAGAGAACCAUUAUUUUUGGCAUAUAGAUUGAGUUACCAAAGGGAUAACAGCGUAAUUUUUUUUGAAAGUUCUUAUUAAAAAUUAAGAUUGCGACCUCGAUGUUGACUUAUAGUUUCCUUUUGGUGCAGUAGCUAAUAGGGUAGGUCUGUUCGACCUUUAAUACUUUACGUGAUCUG
rnacentral:rRNA from 1 species